rnacentral:lncRNA from 1 species
CUCUAAUGGCCAAGGCAUCAGUUCCUCCAGCUUCUGGGAGUUUGUACAUGUCUACAUCUUGCUCAAAUGUGAUGGCUUCAACGUCUGACAAGAUGAGUGUACCUACAGAGAUUCAGCAUGACGGUAUAUCACCAAAAUCUGAGAGGUUAUUCAUGCCUGCAAGUUCUCAGGGCAUAUAUGCCGAAAACCAAAUAAUGUCAGCACAUAAUUAUCGUGGCCAAAUAACACCACAAACUCAUCCGUCCUCUCAGUCAUUAUAGGAUGCAACUUUUCCUUAUAAUUCUAGUGCAUGUGGAUACAACUUUUCUCUAGAAUGGUUAUAGAUUUAGCUUUUUCUCGCUUACAUUUUGAUUUCAAGACAUUGACCCUCAAGAGUAAUAACCUUGAACUCCUGCUCGUCAGUUCAAUAAAUGCCAGAAAUCUAAACUGCUGUGCAUACUCUAUUCUUCUGCUCGGGCAUCUGCUCCAACUCCACCAUUAUCUCCGCAGAUCACAUUGAACAUACAACUGGGGAACUGCCCACCAUGCCACAUCUACUUGCCACGUUCUGUAACGUUUUAAACCUUUCCCUUUCCUCUUUGUAGCAAGUAAUUUUCCGGUAAACAAAUAUAUAUUUGAUCCCUUUCCUUUGAACCAACCAAAAAAAUAAAUAAAUAAAUGGAGUCAAUAAUGUAAUGAUGAGGUAAAGAACGCGUAUGCAUGCAUGGCCAUUAAUUUUCAUCCAAGCGUGAAUGAGAAGAGGACACGUAUCAAAAUUUUAGUGUGAAAGAAGAAAUCCAUGAACUCGUCGUAUCCUAUUCCUAUCUUUUAUUGGAUUGGUGGAGGGUCAAAGCACCCCAAUUACAUACUCUCUCCGUCCCACUUUGUUAGUUCUGAUUCUUUUCUUACACAGUUUAAGAAAAAAUAGUUAAUUUUGUUAGAAUAAUCAAUUUAGGUAGCUAUUUUUCUAAAAUAUUCUCACAUUAAUUAGAGUACAACUUUAUGUGAACUUGAAUUGAUGGUAAAAGAAGAAUAAACUCUCAUUGAAUGGGGUAUGUUUAUAGUAACAACAACUUACAUUGAAUAAGGGUAUUUUAGAAAAAUUAAAAUACAACUACAUUCUUCAAUUGGAAAGUAGACUACAAUUUGGGACAGACGAAAAAGGAAAAUAGAACUAUCAAAGUGGGACGGAGGGAGUAGUAUACUUGUACUAACAAACAAGGUCUCACAAAGACAAUGAAUUGCAUGGAAACCUGCGUGGACCAGAAAGAUAAAAGGGAUGUCUUGCUGCUGGAUACGAGACAGAGACUGUCAUUAGGUGGCUCGUUCAUGAGCGGUUCAUGGUCAAGAUUUGAUCCCAAAUAUUUGUAUGGUCCAAAUCACUCCUUGUACCUCUUUUUUAAUAACGUGUGUGGGGCUCACAAAAAUUUAUUCUAAAGUUACACGUUGUGCAAACAAAGUUACGCCCUGUGAAAAUAAAGUUACGUACUAUGCAAAAUGUAUAUAAUUACCAGGAACGCUUGCACCUGCAAUCGUUCCUGCCCCUGGUGCCUGGCUGCUUGACUGGAUUGGACUGGAUUGGUGGAGGGUCAAAGUACCCCAAUUACAUAGUAUACUUAUACUAACAAACAAGGGUGUGGUCUUAUCAGCAAAAUAUCACAAAGACAACGAAUUGCAUGGACACUUGCGUGGACCAGAAAGAUAAAAGGGAUGUCUAGCUGCUGGGACCGUCCCUGGGCUAUUUAUGACCAAGAUUUGAUUCCAAAAAUUUGUAUGAUUCAAAUCAUUUUUUGUACCUCGUUUUUAAUAAUGUGUGUGAAUCUCACAAAAAUUUGUUCUAAAGUUACACAUUGUGCAAACAAAGUUACGUCGUGUGAAAAUAAAGUUAUGCGCUAUACAAAAUGUAUAUAAUUACCAGGAACGCUUGCACCUACAACCGUUCAUGCCCCUGAUCCCUGACCGCUGGACUGGACUGGGAAGAGAAUCCAACCGACGUCUUCUUGUAUCCUUUCAACGCUUAGCAAUAAGAUCACAAAGACAAUAUGAAUUUGGUCGGUUUCAUUUUAAAGAAAGAUUCUUUUGGUAAUUGCAAUUAUAAUCAUCGUAAGUCCCUUGUCCCUUAGCAGAAAGAACUACUAUUAAGAAAAAACAAAAAUUAAGACAGUAUCGCAUUAAAAAUUAAGAAAAGUUUUUUUUUUCGUUUUAAAGUUAUGUGCUGGAAAAACCGUCAAGUCAUCAGAAGUGCAGUAUUAUCACAUAAGCUUGUUCAAAACACUAAUCGUAGAGAAAAGAUUCAGUACAUGAGCUAUAGUACUAAAAAGAAAAAGGAAAAAUGCAGAUGAAGAAGGCCAAUCUAAUUGUGCCCAGAAGAGAAGAAGAUGGCCUAAAGAAUAAUAAUUUGUUCGAAAACCAUUGAAGAAAUUCUGCCAAAUAAAUGAUCUUACGAUAUUAUAUAUGAAAAGAGUACUGAUAAAAAAAAAAAAAGAAGAUGGGGUUUUAAGUUUUGACCAGAAAUUACGUGUGGUGCAGACGAAGUCGAUGGUACAAUCUUCUAUCUCUCUAUCUUUUUAUGUUUUUUUUUUCCCAUCUCAUUUCAAUUAGCAAACUUUAACCUUUGCAAUGAGAUAUGGACAUUAGCAAAUGUGAAGUGGCGCCCAUGCAUCCUCACCUGUAGCAAAUGUAGAAAAUUUUCCACAAUCAACUGGUGGGACAUUAAUAUUGGGCAGAAAGGAAAAACCAAGAAAAUCGUUUAAAAUAAUACUCUAAAAAUAUUGCAAAAGCAAGGAGUCAAAUUUAGUUUUUUUUUUUCCUAAAAAAAAAAGGAAAAGAAAAGAAAAGAAGAAGUUGUCCAACUUCACUAAUGGUGCUUGAAUCGAUAUCGUUUUGUCAUGUUUACAUGCAUCCAAAAUUUUGUUUCUCCUCAAUGUUAAUUGCGAGUGAUUUUGAUGCUCUUAACAAAAUUGGCGGAGUUUUGACUUGAACUUUAAUCACCUCAUAUUGUCAGUGGAGAUGGCAACUAAAAUAGCUUUUUAACUUAUCGUUGUGUAUCGUACAGAUGUAACACGUCAUUUUGGCAGUUGAGAUGUGAAAAUGAGCACUUACACUUAACAAAGUGAUUUUGGCAUGCAUGCAUGCAUGGUUUCCAACAUGUUCAUUGGUUCCCCGAAAGUAUAUCUUUCUUUAAUUCACAAGCUAACAACCAAACGGAGGAUUUCUUGAUCCCAUAUCAAAUCAUAAAAUCUCUAAAAGAAACUUAAACCUUUCUGCCAUCAAAUCAUGACUGCCACUAACUCCCUGGUACCAAAUUUUCCGAGUUUCAAAACCACAUAAGAAUACAAAGAAACUUUUACAUUCUUCACUGACAUUAGCAGCAUGGAAAGAACAGCCAGAGAACGAAUCAGACUAGAGAUUCUCUAUAAACUCCAAAAAAAAUUACUGUAAUCUCCAAAAAAAAAAAAAUGCAAAAUUCACUAAUAGAAAACCUACAAGUGAACAAAAUUACUCGUGAAGUCUCGUCCUAUUACUUUCGGUCUUAAUAAGUGAAGUCUCUAGGAAGUCCUAAAUUCUUCCAUCCCUAAAAAUUGAGUGACCCAAAAACACUAGAAAAAAUGUUAUCAUUUUUUUUUGCUGAUCACACUCUUACUAUAAUUUUAAUUUUAUAGUUUUCAUUAUUAAACUGUAUGUAAUUAUUUUUAAUAAAUGGAUAUAAAUGAAUAAUGCUAGUCAAUCAAUUAAAUGGGUUUAGAUGAGUCGCCUAUCUAAACCCAGUCAAAAUUUAUUAUCUGCGCAAAUCAGCUUAUUAAUGUGUGAGUUAUGGGUGGAUUAGUAUAAUUUUGGAUUGUGAUUAACAUAUCUAGCUUACUAUUAUGGGAAUCCCAUAAAAGGUACAAUUAAACUUUUAUAUUCCGUACUUUCAUAUAUAUUCUAGAUAGAUAGAUCUUCUAUACAUGAAAAUAAAAAAAAAAAACAAAAAAAAAAAGUCACGCUACGCAACCAAUUUAGGAUUUUUUCGUGCAGUAAUUGGUAAAAGUAGGGUUGAGUUCAGAAAACAAACAUCACACGUGUAAUAACGCAUGCGCGAAGUCACUUAGAUCUAACCACCAAAUUCUUGAGGUACAUUCAGCUGUUCUGGUUCAGUUAUUAAAUAAAUUAUAGUAGAUGAUUAAUAAUUCUUUGGCUAUUCAGCCGUUGUGGUUCAGUUAUUAAAUUAUAGUGCCUAAUUCUUUGGCUAAGUGGUGGCCCUUGUGCAGAUAUUUAAGACAGAUUCGGAUGGCUUUGGAACCGUUCAAGGUUACCCACGCAGCUGUUUUCCUAUGACCUGCCAGCAAGAAUCCGAGGGGAGAGUCAAGACUUGUGGCAUUUUUUCUUGGGAUGAUUCUUGCUUUUGGGCUUAUCACGAGACAGCUUUCUUCUUCUUCUUUCUUUGCUUUUUAAUGGCACCAAGAAUGGUCCAUUAUUAACCAUCCAAAUUGGAUUAGGUGAAACAAUAAUUAAUUUCAAUGCAGAAGAAAAUCUUGUCGUGCAUUUAUGGAUGGUGCGCAUUAAUAAGUGAGGAGUCGUGUUAGAAUCUUGGAAUGUCCUGUGCGCCUUUUCCUUUUUGUUUGGAUGAUUGAGCCUCCAUGCAUCCAUGCAUACACUAAUAAAAAGCAGAGGAAACAUGAUGGUUAGAGGAGAGCAAGUGUGAAAUGCAAAAUGAAAGGCUCGUACAGAAACUUGGGCAUGGAAUGGCUGCAGUAAAGAUGGACUGAAAGCUACCAAGACAUCAUUAUCUUAUCGGAAAGCUUUGAGAUGUGCUAUUAUUAUGUAAUUAAUCAGGAUAGGAAUAUAAUCACUAGCUAAUAGUGCACCAUAAACGCACUAAUAGGACUCGGGCGGGCAUUCGCGAAUUCGUGGUACCAACUCUUGGACGUUGUCUUAUCGGCAAAAGAUUGAAUCAAUUUCCUUUCUUCUUUCUUAUUUUCGUUUUUCCCUUUUUUUUUUUGGACAAUAAAAUGCAAGUCCUUUUUUUUUUUUUGGGAAUAAAAUACAAGGCCUUAAGUACGUUGCUUGCGUCUAUUUGGAGCUUGCACGUGUUCUCAAUCUAUGUACCAUGAUGAAUGCUGCCUUGCUUUUCCUUUUCUGGUUUCUGGGUACGAGGUCCGACAAAAAAUGUUUCAUGCUUCAUUGCUUUACAAUAUGCUAAUGAAGCCUUGCUUCCAGGAGAAGCUGGACCCAGAGACUUUGCGCUGAAUCUUGCCAUAAGGGGUCCUAUUCGGAGCUGUAAUGAUGAGUUUUUAAGUUUUGAGUGCGGUGCAGUCAAUGCCUCAACGGUACAAUCUUUGCUCUCUCUCUCUCUCUCUCUGAAUAUCUUUUCUCUCUCUGAGGCAGUCAAUGGCGAAAGGUUACUAGCACUAAAUUAAGGCUCAUAUCAAUCAUCUUCCCAUGUUUGGCGGCUUGAGUUCUGAAUGAAUUAAUUUUCGUUAAGCACUGGAACCCUCCUGUUUGCUCACCCACGUCAAAAUAGAACGUCGGCGAGCAAUCUUUCAAACACAGAAUCAUGCAAAGUACAUAGCUUUUCCUUUUUCUUUUUGGCUUUUUGGUGGUGAUAGCAACAUUUACAUUUUACAAAUGCCAUCCACUGCUAUGAAGCAAGCACAACAAAAGACAAUUACCAAAGGAGGAGGAAAAAGAAACAAAGGCAUGAUGCUUUUCCAGAUAAACAAUCACCAGCUUGUCAAAUCAGAAGUCUUAGAUCCCAAAAGAGAAAGCGUUUCACAGUUCGGAGUAACAGAUGCUUGGCUGCUGAAAAAGCUUGCUCCAUAUAUACCCAUCGCCCUUCUUUAGUCUCUCUGCCUCCCACUUCAGCCCAGUUGUUUUCCCCAUUAUCAUUCAUCGCAAGUACCCUUCUUCUCAAAAUCUCUUCCUGAACACCCUGCUUUGUAUCCGUGACUGACUUCAUUCUUCUUGUCCGUUGCAGGUCCCUUGAUCACAACAAGGAUUCUACUACUAUCCAAGCCUUGCCACGCUCGAAAGUAAAUUUCCAAUUGCUUCUUCGUGUUUUCUGAUUUGAAUUCUUUGGUUCAAUUAAUCAUCUUCCUCAAGUUUCUAUUUCAAAAGCCUCAAUCUUCAGGUUUUCUUGGAUGUUGUUUAAUUAUCAAAAAGCAAAAAGCCUCUAAUGUUGAUCUGUGUACAUAGCUUAUGAUUGCUGACAUGGGUAAAGAGGUAAUCAAGAUGAGCAGCAAUAUAUUAGUCCUCCUCAUUAAACAUUCAUGGAGAUUUUUUAGAGUUCUCUCUUUCCUUUUCAGAGUUUUUAGUUUUUUUUUUUUAACGUUUUCAUUUUGGGUAGCUCCAUUUCCCAUUGGGUCUAGGUCAAGCAAGAAGUUUUAGGGCUUUUCCUUGUUGAUGUUCUUUAUAGAUUUGCACCAAGAACAAGAACAACUUCUGUAGCCUGCAACUCUCCUUUAUUUUGAUAGCACUAUCUCUUCCGCUUGUAAGACAACUGGAUCUAGCAUCAAUGGCUAGUUACUCCAUCUAUGGAGAUUAUGAGGGUUCUCUUUUUUCUCUGUGUUUUUUUCUUUUUUUUUUAUAUAAAGAUAUCUUCGCUUGUAAGAAAAUUGUAGAACCAUUCAGUCCCUUGACUAUAACCAUGUUAAUUGCACUUUUAAAAAGGGCUAGUUCCACUUCUGUCCCUUGACUUAUAACCCAUUCCACUUUGCUCUAAUUUUGGACACAUUACAGCUAACAAUACCAACAUUUUUAGGUAUAUCCCAUUUUGGUCCAGCUAUUAAUAGUGUUAAAACAGUUAAGGGAGUUAUUAGUAGUGCUGAAAAAAAUUAGGCUCUAGCAUGUACACUCACACGCAUGUAAAUCAGUAGGUCAGAGUUCACUUCUCACCUCCUAUUUGUCGUUAGUUCACUAUUUGUACCCUUAAUGUUUGGACAUAUUCCACACUUUAUUUCUUUUAUAGUAUGUUAUUACAAAUUUUUUUGAAAUGCCACGUUAGACAUACAUAGAUUUUUCAUCUUAUAUUUGGCACACACACCUUAUUGCGUCAAAUUUAUAAAAUUAUUUCUAUAUAGUAUUUAUCAUACUUGUGUAUCUGUGUGUGUGUGUAUAUAUAUAUAUAUAUACAACACUACAACUAUGCUACGAAUAACUAAUUAAACAGGGUGAACAGCUCUACUGCUAUGGUGUAUCUUAUCAAGAACAAUAAAUUACAUAGGUGUUUAUUGGAUUCUGUUUUUUAAAUAAAUUAUCCAGGUUUAAUCAUUCAUAAAUGAAUCAUUUGUGAACAAGUUUAAUUAUCUUUUACUUUAAUUUACAGAAUGCGCUAUUCCUCACUUAGACAUUUCUAUCCUUGCUUUUUCUAGUAUAUUAUAAUAUUUUGUAUAAUUGUAGGGAUAUAAAAAUUACAAAAAUAAGUGUUUGAAUUUUACUCUAGCAAGGUCAUGCAUGAAAUGGCAGGUAAAAAGUUAUGUAUCCUACCCAUUCAAAUUUGUAUAACAGAUAAAAACCAAGUAAGGGGAUGGAAUGUGUCCAAAAAUUAGAAUUUGAGUGCAAAAAGUAAAAGCAAGUAGUACUAAUUUAGGGUGGAAACUGGAAUUUGGCCUGCGAACCAAUAUUAUGUGGCACUCAGAUGCGUAACACUUGUUAGGACUCCCACAGCGCAAUUAACAAAUUAAAGAGUCCAAUUAAUUAGUUGGACUAUAACGAAGACUUAGGGUGCAAUUUAUCUGAAACUAAAAUUUAAUAGGUUAAGUGAUAAUUGGUCAUUAAUUAGAAGGUCAGAAAAGUGAAAUAAGUUUGCUUUUAAGUAAUUAUGCUUUUCUUUCGAGUGGAUUUUCAUUAAUUUUUCUACAUUUUUCUUUCUUAAAAGAUGUGGAUUUUCAUUCCGUACGUACUGGGACUUGUACCAUUUAUUUCCAUGAAACCCAUUCCGUGUACAAGCAUUAUCAAUUUUCCCUAGUACAUGAAGCAACUAAUAAUAAGGGUUUUGUGCACAAAUGAUAAUACCAUGUCACGUUCUCCUAUCCCUCUUACAGAAUUUCCCAAGGACAAUUUAGGGGUUUCUUUGGGUACUUAAUUAUUUGAAGCUUUGUUUAACCGCCAGGUUGAUCUUUAGCAACUAGUGCAGGGACUAUGUUGAAGUAAAUGCAUAUUUCUCCAAAUUUUUGGGGUGCUUUAUUGAUCCUACUUGGCUAAGAAAACAAUAUAAUUAAUGAAUCAGUGAUAAAACAUUUCCAUAAGUCAGUAUAAUGAGGAUGAAUUUUCUGUUGCUAAUGUUUACAUGCAAAAAAAAACUAAAUGUUGAUUUGAUAUAAGAAUGGCUGAUCAAGGAAGGCCUGAGCAACGUCCUGGGGAUGAGGUCGUCGUUCAAUACCAGAUACGCCGCAGAGGUGGUCUUGUGCAGAGGAUAAAAUACAUUUUGAUUAGCAACUUCAACAGUUUUGGAUACCUUGAGUGGUAUCUGUUAGAAAUAUGUGAUAAUCGAGAUGGCGCAGACUUCAUAGACAUAUCCUACACCAGGUAUGGUGAUCCGUACAAUGAUGUGAAUAACAUUGAGCGCAGGCUGGGGAGCCAGCCAUGGGAGGAUUUUGCUGCAACUGUUUAUCAAAUUCUCAUCAGGAGGGUUUGAGGCUUAAAAGUUCCAGCAGCAUGUCAAUCAACGCUUUUAUGAUCAUCAGCCGAUGAUUUUUUAGUGCUUUCUUCAUCAUUUCCCAGAACCCGGCCAGCUGCGUUUUCUAGAUAACUAAUUAAGUAGUUCUUGUAAUAUAAAAUAUAAAUAUUUCAGUUCUUGCGCUUGGUUUUUAUGGACUAAUUUUAGUCUUAUGAUAUGCUUGAGUGGUAUUGAAAGUGGAUAAAAACUUGUCAUGAUGAUGCUCACUGCCCGCUAGUUACUGCUUAAAUGUUCUUGGCAUUUAACGAGGUGGGGGUCUGAUUGCGUGAAUGGUGACAAAGAAUAGCUAGUCUGUUGUGUAUGUGUGAUUUUUAUACAUAGGUAGGAAGAAAUUAGCUAGUCUUUUGUCAUUAAGUUCAAGGGAUCUCAGGAAUAAUGUAACUUUGAACUCUUUUUUUUCCUAAACCAUUCCUUCUUUACACCCAAUCAAUAAAUAAGUAAGCUUAUCCGUUAUAAGUAGUAUUAAACUAUUUUAGCAAACCAACUACGGGGAACAAAAAAAAAAAAAAAAAAAAAGCAGAGAGCAUGUGCAAGAAAAGUAGGAAUGGUGACAAGAAUAGCUAGUGCUAAGAUUAGGAUGCAGUAGAAAGAGAUACAUGAUAAUGUCGACAUACUAAGACUAGGAUGCAGCUGUAGAAAGAGAAACACUAUAACAAAGAUGAUCAGAAGAAUAAUACUAUUAUAUACUUGUAAAAAACAUUAUUAUUAUUUUAGUUCUAGAGAUGUUUGUUUCCUUUCUUCACUCACGUUCAUUAGAUAUUUAACUGGAUCUUCAGAAAGUAUAGCUAGGCUCAUUAAUUAACUACAUCUUAAUCAUAGAUCCUCUUCCUAGCUAUUUCUGGUGGAACAAACUUAAAUUCAUUAAUUUGUCUCUUAGCUUCAUUAUUAAAUUUCAUAAGCCUUGUUGAAGAACAUCUUGGCAUAUAAGGUCAAGGCUUUGUAUUAAUAAUUGGACCGUGUUCAGCUCAUGAAUGCCAACAUUCUUUAAUUUACGCAUAGAUAUUGUCACCCGAAUUUUCUUAAAUGCUACAUUAUCUAUCAAUUUUGAUUCUUUUAACACUUUUUUUUUUUUUUUUUUUUAAAGAAACGAGAACAAGAAGAUGCAUUGGAUUCAUCAAAAGUAUUUACAAGUCACCAUUUAUAAAUAUCCUUUUGUAGCCAAGGCAAAAGAUAGUCAGGGGGCUAUCAAAAACCAUACAUCCUACUAUUUAUAUCAAAAGGCAGUUCCAAUGCAUGCAUGCAUGCAUGGACAAUGCGUCUGCUGCAAAGUUACAUUGAGUGUGUUUGGAUUGAAAUGAUUUGGAAAAAAAUAAUUUGCUUCGUAAAUCUCAAUCAUUUUUUUAUCUUUUCAAUCAUCUUUUUAUCUCACAUAUAUCAUAUCACAAAAAAUACUAUAGUAAUUAUCUCAAAUAAAUCAUCCAAAUAAACUCUUAUAUCCAAACAAACUCAUUAUUCUCUUGGCCGAAACUCCAGAUGGCAACUGGGUAGUAAACCAACAGCCUUUGAGCUAUUCGCCACCGUCAAGUCCUCGAGUCUUGGUGAGGUGGGAGUUCAAGGGUUCAAAUCUUGUCUUUCACCAAUUAUCACAAUAUGUGGUUUCUCUAAAAAAUUCAUACGGAUGAUCCGAUGAUAGUUUAAUCUCAAUCGGUCCUUCGUAGGCUCAGUUGGAUCACUUCUUUAUAUUAGGAUAGAGUAGGAUAAAAUAAAUAAAGUGACGAUGACAAAAAACCAUCGGUGCCCUAUAGUUUCAAUUGGGUCUCCCCUUAUAUUAAAAUAGAGUGGGAUAAUAUAGAUAAAGCGAUGACGACAAAAAAAUAAAAAUAAAAAACUGGAUAGUAGAGUUUAUCAUUUCCUGCCGGUCCUUCACAAGGUUGCUUUUCCUUGGACUUGCUCGAGUUUUCCUGCGUAUAGCAUUAACAAUAAUCUGGCCGUCAGAAUGCAUCGCGAGCUUAUCAAUUUUGAAUGUCAGAGCCAAAAGCAGUCCUGCUCCAAUCGCACAAGACUCGGCCACGAAGUCACAAUCUGCAUAUUGAUGUUCCCUAUUAGCUGUUUCAUUCUCUCUAAGACUGGCCGUGCUACACACAGCUAAUGCUUACUUGCAGGGAUCCAAAUGCAGCAAUUUGUGUAACAACAAUUGCAGAAAUAUUAUUGUUUUCUUGGGAAAGAUAACAAAUUGUUUAUUUGUAUAUGUAGGUGUGUUUUUAAAUAUUAUGAGAACUUUUAUCUUUCUUCGUCUAAAUAAGGAAAAAAAUAUUAGUGCCUUUAACUUCUAAAUAUGAGCGUAUUCUUAUAUUUAAGUCUAAUUUUUCCCCCCUAAAAAAAGAAAAAACAAUGAUAUAUUGUAAUAGUCAGUACCCAUCGCUUAAAAGUGAAGAAACUUAAUUAUGGUUGGCAAAAAUACCCUAACCCUACAACCCGUCUGCUAAUUUGAGAGAUUGGGUUGGGUCAAUUGAGUGUUGGACUAGUUAGGUGUAAGGAUGACAACGCGAGCCCCUGCACCGCGGGGGUAGAAAUGGGGCGGGGGCGGGGGCAAAAUAUUUCCCCCCGCCUUAAAACAGGGCGAGGAGUGGGGCAACAUACACCUGCCCCAUCCCCUGUCCCGUCCCCCGCAUACAAUUAAAAAAUAUAUAUAUAUAUAUAAUACAACCUCAAAUUUUCAAAAUUGCACUCUUAUUUACAAGUACAAUGUUAGGUAGUGUCAAUGGCCGUCGCAACAACUGAAGAAAUUUCUUGGACCAUUGUUGAUUUGUUUCCAACGCCCCCUCCCCAAGACUAAGCUAUCCAAUUCCAAUCCGUUUUGCUCCUAACCCAUUUUUAUUUUGACCGGUUUUCUUCCUCCGCACUGAAUGUAACUUGACUUGUUGUGUUUUAUUUCCAUCUUGACAACUUUUUAAUCUUAUUUAACAUUGUUUACAAUUGUAUUAUUGUAAGUAAACAUUUAUGAUAAGUUGAUUUCUUCCCCGCAGGGGAAACAGGACGGGGGCGGGGUGAGGGGCAAGGGGCGGGGGGUGGGGCGGGAGACGGGGGGGGGGAGUUAUUUGACAAUGGGGCAGGGGUCCCCCCUGCCCCGCCCCACCCUACCCCAUUGCCACCCCCUAGUUAGGUGUUGAGUGAAAAAACCCAAAUGAAUUCUCGGCAGUUUGGGUUGUUAGUUGGGUACCUAUUAAUUUUUAGUUUUGUCCAGCUAUCAAAAUAAAAAACAAACUCCAAAACUUGUAAGCGGCAUUGAUUUGGUCAAAUAAUUUUAUCUUCUCAAAAUUUUGAUAGGUAAAAUCGAUCUAAUUUUAUGGAGUUACAAACUUGGAACAAUGAAAACACAAGAAAGAUAUGAUUCCCCAGUGACUGCUACUAAUUAAUUAUUUAUCACCACUUACUAAAUACCAUCCAAAGAAAUAAUCCACCUGCAGACACCAAAACCCGGCCAGAUGAAUAAUUAAGUAGUUCGUGUAAUAUAAAAAAUAUACAUAUAUAUAUAUAUAUAUAUAUAUAUAUAUAUAUAUAUAUAUAUUUCAGUUCUUGCGCUUGUUUUUUGACGGAAUAAUUUUUGUCUUAUAAUAUGCUUGAUGUGUAUUGAAAUUAAGGUGGAUAAAAACGAGUCAUGAUGAUGCUCACUGCCCCGCUAAUUAAAUGUUCUGGGCUUCGAAACCGUGUACGUGGGUCUGAUUGCGUGCGUGAUUGGAGGUUUCUUCUUUCACUUUUCCUCUCUUUUGUUUGUUUGGUGAAAAGGGAGCUUAAGUUCUCAAUCUCUUCCCAUAAUUGAUUUCAUUACUUUCUCAAUGGAUCACGAAUUAAUGACGCACAUCCCCGCCAAGGACAUGAUGAAAUUGGUAGCCAUCCAUCAAUUUGUUUGCAUGCUGCAUCAAUAAUCCUAAUGUAUGUGUGAGCUAAGUCAAUUGUCAUUGAGUUCAAGAAAUGAGCUACUUACCAGCAGAAUUGAACUAUUUUAGCAAACCAGAAUAGCAGAGAGCAUGCAUGUGCAAGAAAAGUAGGAAUGGUGACAAGACUAGGAUGCAAUAGAAAGAGGCCAUGAUAAUGUCGACGUACAUAUUAAGAUUAGGAAGAGAGAGAAGCGUGAUAAUUAUGUCGACAUAUUAAGACUAGGAUGCAGCUGUAGAAAGAGAUACAUUAUAACCAAUUUGAUCAGAAGAAUAAUACUAUUAUAUACUCGUAAAAAACAUUAUUAGUAUUUUAGUUCUAGAGAUGUUUGUUUCCUUUCUUCACUCACGUUCAUUCGAUAAUUAACUGGAUCUUCAGAAAGUAUAGCUAGGCUCAUUAAUUAACUACAUCUUAAUUAAAGAUAGAUCCUCUUCCUAGCUAUUUCUGGCGGAACAAACUUAAAUUCAUUAAUUUGUCUCUUAGCUUCACUAUUAAAUUUCAUAAGCCUUGUUGAAGAACAUCUUGGCAUAUAUAUAAGGUCGGACCAUGUUCAGCUCAUGAAUGCCAACAUUCUUUAAUUUACGCAUAGAUAUUAAUGUGACCCCAGUUUUCUUAAAUGCAACAUUAUCUGUCAAUUUUGAUUCUUUUAACACUUCUUUUUUUUUUUUUGUUUUGCAAAGAAAGAAACGAGAACAAGAAGAUGCAUUCGAUUCAUCAAAAGUAUUUACAAGUCACCAUUUAUACAUGUCCUUUUGUAGCCAAGGCAAAAGAAGAUAGUGAGGGGGGCUAACAAAAACCAUAUCUACGUCCUACCAUAUAUAUCAAAAGGCAGUUCCAAUGCGUGCAUGCAUGCAUGCAUGAUAAUACGUCUACUGCAAAGUUACGUUCUCUUGGCGGAAAUUCCAGAUGGCAACUGGGUAGUAAACCAACCGCUUUGGGUUGUUGGCCAACACCAAGUUUUUAAGGUUUUGAGGGGUGAGAGUUUAAGGUUCAAAUCUUACCUUUUAUUAAUUGCCACAAUAUAUGAUUUCGCUAAAAAUUCAAAAUUCAUACGAGUGGUUCGAUGGUAGUUUAAAUCAUAUCGGUUCCGUAAGUUCAGUUAGGUCUCUUCCUUAUAUUAGGAUAAAGUAGGAUAAUAUAGAUAAAGUGACGAUAACAAAAAAUAAAUAAAUUUGGAUAGUGGAGUUUAUCAUUUCCUCGCAGUCCUUCACAAGGUUGUUUUUGCUCGAGUUUUCCUUUUUUUUCUAUCGAGAGAUAGAAACACACACAUUUAAUUAGAUUAGAAACGCUCAGGAGACACAUCCAAUUAAAUUAGAAACACUCAGGAGAUUAACGGUUAAAGGACCAGUUAACAGUAAUUUAAGGGACCAGUUUUCCUGCAUAUAGCAUUAGCAAUAAUCUGGCCGCCAGAAUGCAUGAUGAGCUCAUCGAUUUUGAAUCUCACAGCCAAAAGCAGCCCUUCUGUAAUCGCACGCAACUUGGCCACGAAGUCACAAUCUGCAAAUUGGAUUAAAAAAAGGGUUAAUCACAUUUAAUUCCCUUAAAGUAUAUCCCAUUUCUCAGUUUAUUGUCUAACUUUUAAUUUUACUCACUUAACCUUUUAUAAGACAAAAUUACCCUUGCAUUAUUUUGACUUUUUAUUUACCUUGUUUUCCUUUCUUUCCUUUCUUUUUCUCUUUCUUUUUUUAUUUAAUUCUUUAUCUUUUCCACAAAAUUCUUCACCUUAAUGAUUGAAAUUAAAAAAAGAGAAAUUACAGAGAUCUAUCUUCUUCUUAAAUGAUUAAAAAAAAUAUUCAAAUUACUUUCCUAAAAUACAAUUUUUUUAGCCUUUCAAUUCUUUUAAUUUUGGAUUUUCUUCUUUCCUUUCUAGUUUUUCAUUUUAUUCUCAAGAAAAUAUAAGAUGAAAUUGUUUUCCUUUCUUUUAUUUCUUUUUCUUUUUCUUCUAUCUCUCAUCGUUUCCAAUAGAAAAUUCCAUUUGUACGAAAAUUUUUAUUUGAAUUUGUAAUUGCAUAUUUCUAGGUGAAAAUUUAAAAGGCAUCAAAAACUAAUUUUGAUUUUUUAUAUGAUGUCACGUGUCACAAAUUUCAAUUGAUGAUUAUUAAUCAGGUCACAAUUUCAUCUUAAGAUUAUUAUACAUGAUGUGUAUACCAUCUUAAGAUUAUUAUACAUGAUGUGAGACAUAUACAUGACAAGGUCUAUUCCAUGUCUCAUGAUGUGAGACACAUACACGACAAGGUCUAUUCCAUGUCUCAUAUGGAUUUCUCUUCCAAUUAACAAUACUUCAAUUCUAAAAUUCUCAAGAGAAACGUAACCACUAAGAACCAAAUGCCCAUUAGACAUGCAUUUAUCCCAGGUGUUGAGUGAGUUUCAAAAUUUGAGAUAAAGUACAACAACGAUACAUCUUAAGCCAACAAAAAAAAAAAAAAACAAUUUGAACUUAGCGACAACUUGAAUCCAUUACCUAAAUUUGAUUGCGGAAAUAAAAUAGAAGAGACCUUGGUAGAAGUAGGAUCUGAAGUGAUUGGACAGAAUUCUUAUACCUUUACCUGCAGUAACAACUAACAAGAAAACAAUGAAAUACUCAGCAAUUAUUACAAGAAAAGCAUGGUUUAAAGAUCAAUGACGGGGAGGAGAAUAAGAAUAAUAUUAAGUAGUAGUACAAAAGUAACAAUUUUGAAUAACUUAAAGCAGUGCUAGUUAAAGAUCACCUAAUUUCAAAGAUUCAGAAAAGAAGGUUGAAGCAAGAAAAGGACAAAGCAAAAAUAACAAAACAUAAAAAGGACCAAGCGUGCAAGUAGAGAAUCUAUUGAGUUAUCCCAACUUUUUUGUCCCCAGAAAACGAUCAGCCACCGCCCCCUGGAGCUGGAAUUGGAUCUCAAGUUUGUAGUCUCUUGAGAUAUUGACAAAACUUCAAUCCUAUUUAAUAUCUCAACAGCUUUUCUUUUAAAAAUCCAAAGCCAAAAGAAAAAAAAAACGAUAAUGAUUGGUUCCAUUACGUGUGCUAAAACCACUUGAGGUGAGGGAUGCAAUCAUCUGGACCUGUAAAAAGAAAACAGAAAUCCCUCUCAAUGCAAGUCCAUCUGCAUGAACAAGGAGUUGAAUGAGCCAAUACAAGUUGGCUCAGUUGGCAAAGACAGGUCAUUUCUUCAUAAAAGAUCGUGUGUUUGAAUCCUGUUGUCGAUGUGAGGGCUGUGUUAAUGGGUAAUCUGUAAAUAUCUCUAUAAGCGACCUAUGGUCCCGGAAGCUUGUCCUAAUCCACGAUAGUGAUUGGAACUGAACUCACUCUUUUUUACCAAAAAGAAAAAAAGGCUGAAUGAACAUAUUAGAAAUAAAAUUACUAUUGAUUGACUACAUAAUUCAAAGGGUGAACGCAGAGCUGAUUGUAAGAUAGACAACAGCACUUUAAUUUUAGAGCUUCAAAAGAAACGCAAUACCGAGACCCAAAUGUGUGUUGAAAAUUCCUGGGUAGUCCAGCCCAACCAUCCUUCAAUAACAAUACGUCUAGAUUAUUAACAAACCCAAAACCAUCGGGCCACCAUUUCACCCCAAAUUAUUAAUAAUAUUAAUGAUAUGGCCAUAUCCACGAAAUAAAGAACAAAAAAUUAAACAAACCAUGCUCCAACCUACAAAAACAUUUUGCUUAUGCAACUACUGUUGCAUCUUCGUUUAAAACACAGCAAUAACAAUGAGAUGGGGAGUUGUAAAGCAUGAAUAAUAGCUUAAUUAGCCCUUCUGAUAUGAGAAAAAGAUGAAGUACUUGUUAGUUGUAUGUUGCUACUAGAAACUUUUGCUAGGCUUCGGGAUUGAGAACAACAACAGAAGAUUGCUAGUUUAAAAUUCUAUUCCAACAGAAGAGAAUAGGCAACUGAGCGAGAAAAAGAACAAGUAUGCAAUGCAUGAAGCUUCUCUGGUUCUCAUCUAUUCCUUCACAGCUGUAUAAACCACUAGAUUCUGAGCCCGAUAACCCAUUGAAAUUUAACCCCAAAGUUCAACUUCUGCGUAGCUCAAAACCCUGUAAUGCCGCAAAAACUGAUGAAAAUGAAAAUGGCCAGAAUUCAGUAAAGACUCUACCUUUACCUUCCCAUGUGAAACCCAUCACAAGCACAUCAAACCCAUUUGUGAAGCAUUGUUUAAAGCUUCGCCAGAGCUCUUCUUAUCGCCACUCCCAUGGCUCAGUUAUUCUGGUGGGCUCUACUCCUAUAAGGUCUCUUCGCUUUCUAUCUCUGUAUCGCUAAAUUCCUGUUUUCUUGAACAUUUGUUAAUCUUGGUUCAUUAUGAAUUAAGAUGUAUGUACUGGAAUGGGGUUUUGCUAAUUGUGUUUCUACAGGAUUUUGUUUCUUGUUUUUGAUAUGCCUUGUGAGUGUUUGUACCAAUGCUUGUGUUAGUGUGUGACAGUUUGUGGUUUGCAUUGGGAUGGUCAGCAAAGUGGUGAAAUUUUAGUGAUUGCAGUUAACAAUUUAAGAUUAAUGAUUUUACUGACUAUUGCAGAUGUCUCUCUAAGUGAGGAAAAUCCUGGCAGAGAUAUCAUUCUGCAAUUCUACUGCUGUGUAAUGCCGUGAGGAAUCAAUUAGUUCAUAGAUAUUUAUUUUCUAUGAUCAAAGCUGUGACUUGGGAAUCUAGUGAAAAGUAAAGGAAUCAAUGUUAAUGCAACUUGAGUGGAAAACAACUCCAAUUUUAGGGAAAAGAUGAGGAAACCAGUUUUGUGCAGGGCUUGAGAGAUAAAUAGGAGGCUUUAGGUGGAGGUGUGAAUAAUAGUUCAAGUAGAACUCCGGUUAAACAUGAUAAUGAAUGCUUACUGCAUGCUCAAAAGAUCAUCAUUGAUGCCUCAUGCUUAGCUCUUUUUCCUCUGAUAUUGUUAUUUCUACUGCAGAGUAUUUACGUGAUUGUUAUAAACUUUUGCAGGGAGCUAUACAGAUUUCAAAACAAAAUUGAAGAUGGACUUGCUGCAAUAGAAUGCUUACUUGUGCUUGAUAACACUAAUGUUCCUGAAUACUUGAAUAAUCAGUCAAUUUGACAUGUCAAUGUUGGUUCACUGGUGAUGAAGAAAGUUUCUGGGCUGCAAUCAACUGAUUCCAUUGACAUGGUUGCGCUAAUAAAAAUUCCCUCAACAUUUCAUAGCAUUGGUAGUUAUCUGAAAGAAGAAGAUUGUCAUAAAUGGUUCCCAUCUCCUUAUCAGAUAUUAGUCCUAGAUGGAGUUCAGGUUAUUCUCCUAACAAUUACCGUUCUUACCAUUUCUAUUUGUUCAUUUUUUUCUUGGUGAAAGAAAUCCUUCCAGAUCACCCUUUUCAUGUUGGAUUCAGGUCAUCAAUAGUCUCCUAGUUUUGAAGUUAUAUUACACCCCAAAUUCGUUCUAAUCAGAGAAUUCAAAGCACCAGUGUCAACAGCCUACACGAAGGGGAUGCAGAUGAUGUGCCCAUCUUGCUCGCUUAAUUUUUUUAAAAGGUUUACCAAAACAUCGAUUCUUUGUCUGGUACUAUCUUGCACCAGUAAAGUCAAUCUGCCAAUUGAUCUUAGUAAGAAAACCAAAUUGCAAAACCUAGAUACCCGUGUAAAAGAAAACCCCGGACCAUCUUGAUCCAGUAAGCCUUUAGCAUUUUGAGUUAUAAAUGCUACAAUAAUAGUCACUUACUGCUUCAGAAGAAAGACAAGCCAAACUAUCUUGGAUCUAGAUUAUUUCAGUUUUCAACCGAACUUAUUUCAAUGUCAUAGUGUCAUUUAAGCUCCUGGGGUCCUUACCAAUGGACAGUGCUUAUGGUAGGAAAUGCAAAUAACAUAAUUGGAAGUUUCAGAUCUUGAAUGAAUUUUGGGGAAACCAAUUAUAAUUCAGCCUACCAAUAGUUCUUGCUGCUUGUGUACUAGCUCCUUUUGGAUGGUCUGCGAAUCACAAGCUCAUGAUGACUGUUCAUUGCAGGACCCUGCUAAUCUUGACAUGCUUCUUAGGUCAGCUAUGGCCUUUAGAUGGGUAAGGAAGAUUGUACCUUUUUAGUUUUUAAGUGCUUCUGGCCUUCCUUUCUUGUAAUAUAAUCAUGAAAAUGAAAUCUGCAUCUAGCGCUUGUCAUGAUGUCUUGUAGAAUGUUUGUCUCUGGUUAAAAGUAGCUUUUGAGGGCAUGAUGCUUAUUAACCUAAUGACCUUUUGUUCGUCAAGGUUUCAUCUUUGUGACAAGCCCAAGCUGUUUAUGAACAAAAGUAGUCCCUCUACUGCAGAAGUUGUUGCCGUGAUAAGUUGUGUCGUGCAUUGAUCCAGAACUGAACUUCCUUUCAGUAUUCUUAUCUCUCUUUGGUCUGGAGAGAAUUAAAAGAAACUGAUUUAAUUGCUGAUUUCAAUAGGAUGGUGUGUUCUUACUUUCUGACUGUUGUGACCCAUUCAAUGAUAAAGCCUUACGAGCAAGUGGAGGAGCCUCCUUUCAGCUUCCUGUAGUGUCUGGUGGUUGGACACGUUUAGAUGCUCUAAGAAGAGUUUUUCACAUGAAGAUUGUGCCUGUCAGUUCCUAUAACUUCAAUCUAAUUUGAAUAAAAAGUGCCAACAGGGUCAUUUAUCCCAUGGGUUAGUUUUGCAUAAUAAUAGGGGGAUAGAUGAUAAUGGAAGUUGCUAUUAGUGGUCAAUAAGCACUAUUAAGUCACGCAACCAGUAAGGAUGUCAACAUCUGCUCAGUUCAUCCAGUAAUAGUAGCUAGGGGUCAGCUACUAGAUUGGUUGUCAUGUAUCAGAAAUGGAUAUUUUUCGCUUAUAGUUGUGGUAAAGGUUUAUAAAGGAAGAAUGAUAAGAAGAUGCUGACUACUACCGCACGAGAGGAUUAGUAGCCGGUGAUGGCUGAGGUAUGGUAAAACAAUAGAAAUUGUUCUUUAGACAACUUAAUGUGCAUUUUUGACCUACAAAAUUGAAAAUUGAAAAUUGCAAUUGCAACAUAAAUAAUUGUUGAUUCAUAUAUUAUGGCUUAGCUACUUAAGUAAACCGUGAUACAUAAUUGAAGACACAUCAAAUUUUGCAGCUGAACGACUUGGAAAAGGGCUGGGGAUGUCGGGUAAUCUGCUGUUCUUUUCAAUUUUCUGGGGAAUUCUGUGCUUGUUGGAGCUUUAAAAAGAUCGGAAAUCAUGGCCAGAUGACUUCCAUGUUAGGAAGUGAAGUUUGUAUUGAGUUGUAUUCAAAAUCGUGGUUAAUAUCUAUCAUGAGUUUGUUUUCUGCACCUUACUCUAUCGAUUCUACCAGUUCAUUCAGUUGGCAUUAUUUGCAUUCUUCUCAUUAUAGGUACCCUUAAGCUCUUUUGUCUCAUGUACACAGUAAGAAACUUUUUUUUGGAUGCUGUUAAACCUGAUUAAGGAAUUUUUUAUAUGCACUCUAAACUCUUGUAUUCUAUUUUUCCAUGAAAAGUUUAGGUGGUUGUGGAAACCUGCAAGAACUGACCUUGCUUUUGUAGAUUCCUAGAUAUGAGCAAGGUAACUUUUUGGGCCCUACUAUAUUGUGUGAUGUUGCAACCAACAUGGAGUGCUACAAGGUACACUUCACUUUUCUCAUACUUGUCUGGUCAAUGCAAUUAAUAGGUGGUGAUAUUCUCUGAUCAUGAUGGUCAUAUCCUCUGGAACAAGAAUCAAAGAACUUGCAAAUUACUGAUGUAAUGUAAUUUUUUGAACAGGAGGAAAUGUUUGGGCCAGUUCUUUGUAUGCAGGUAAUUCUAGUUAUAGUUGAGUUUAUAUUAUUGAAUGUUGAUAGUCCAUUUUUCCAUAAUAAUUUCCUGAGCAGGAUUUACUAAUCAUAUUAUCUGUUUCGCUAGCAGGCUAACAGAUUUGAAGAAGCCAUUGCCAUUGUGAAUAGAAACAGGUUAUUCUUCUGAAUUCUGAUAUACUUGAUCUUCAAACAGUUAUUUAAAUACACUAUGUUGACACUAUUUUUUACCAUCAUUUAUUUCUAAAAAUACAGGACUGAGCAUACUUGCCCCAAGAAGUAAUAUAGAAAUUUCUUAGAACGUUGAAAUGAGCAUGUACUUGUGCCUCCUCUCUAUCUAUCUCUCAUCUCUUGCCAUCUGUCUGGUUUAAAAUGGAGCUACCUCACUUCAUUGUCAAAAUUUGCCCUUAUCAAAAAAUUUCUGUUCACAAAGCCAAGUUACUAAAGUUCCUUAUGUCUUAUUUCUACUCUUUUAUUGUCCUUUCUCAUAGGCAUGUGAAUGGAGCUUCCAUCUUUAGGGGUCGCAGCUAGGAAGUUCCAGAAUGAUGUUGAGUCUGGGCUGGUGAGCUGAUCCUUUUUAUUUUAUGUAACCAAGAACUGCUUUAGCUUUUCUAAGGCCAAAUUCUUUAUGUGGAGCUGUCUUGACUGUGCUAUCUACUUGAAUUGGCUUGAAUGGAAAAGUUAUUCUGCGUUAAAGUGGGGAAGUAGGAAACUACUUAUUGUAUCAUCAACCAAGACCUGGAAGUUAGACAUUUAGUAUAAGACGACAUCUUGUAUAUUUUCUUCACUGACAUAUAAGUUUGUUCAGGUUAGCUACCAUCAGAUACUUUGACUAAGUUGGGUAGCAAUUACGAAAUGUGCAUUUUAAUGUUAAAUAUUCGUUUUAAGUAGGAUUGGGGAAAUUUUCAUGUCAACUUGGUUUUCAUUGAUUUGUCACCAAGUCAUCUAUUUUGUUUUAGUUAAGCGAAUAGCCAAGUAUUGACUCAAACCGAGAUUUUAAUAAGAGUGUGGAAUCCAUCAGGUUGGAAUAAACGUGGCUGUCCCAAUUCCUUUGCCAUUUUCGUCGGUCAAUGGUUCAAAAGCAUCUUUUUCUGGUGAUCUCAAUUUCUGUGGUAUGUCACAGUUUUCUCUUAUCUUGGACAAACCCAGACAUAUCUUUUGCACCCUUUCCCAUCCCAACUCCACAUCGGAGUACAAAGUUAAAUUAAAUUAUAUUGACAAUCUCAGGAAAGGCUGGAUUGCAGUUUUACACACAGAUAAAAGCAGUAGCACAGCAAUGGAAGGACUUGCCAACCAGAAGGGUAUCAUUACCUCAUCCUCCAACAUCUGAGACAGAAAUCAGUUCUUGAGGGACAUUCUUAUCACAGCCACUUUCAUCUGAGAGUGAUAUACCUAGCAGAGAAGUGUCACCAGCUAUGCCUCUAGCUUUGGAGAAUGAUCUGCCGACUGAAAACUUAUACCUGCCAUUGCCCCCAAGUGAAGGGGAUGUAUCAAACGCGGAAGUAUUGCCUUCUACUCCACCGACAAGAGAGCCGGAAUUACCCAAGCAAGAAGGGGCAUUGGCCAUGUCUUUGAUAUCUGAAAGGGAUUCAGUUAACCUGAAAGUGUCAUUGCUGAUGCCUCUAGCGGCUGAGAUUGAUGCUGCUGGGCAAAGUGAAUCAUCGUCCUUGUGUUCGGUAUCUGAGCGGACAUAUCCAUGUCAAACCUCUCAAUGGGGUGAUCCACUUCCCCUGAUAUCACAAAGCACUGAAACUACUCCAUCAACUGCUAAGAAGGUUUAUAUGGCUCCAAAUUCUCAGAGGAUUGACACAUUAGCUCCUGGAAUCCAAAGGACAGAUACUGUGGACGCUUCAGAUUCUGAGAGAUUGUACUUUCCUGUGACUUGUAGUAGUGAGAUAAACCCAAUAUCUCUUAGGAAUGACAGUGUUAGUCCAAUGUCUCUCAGGCAUGAUAUUCAGAUGACAGACAUAAAUGUGCGUCCUGCUUCUGAGAUGGUUUAUAUGCCAGUAAUGUCUGAGCACAAAGAAAGUGUUGGUCCAACCUCACAAAGGACUGGUGUACUCCAUUUGAAACCAGACAAGAUGUACAUGGCGUCUCAUAGGAGAGAUGGUAUGGGUAUGAUGCCUCUAAUGGCCAAGGCAUCAGUUCCUCCAGCUUCUGGGAGUUUGUACAUGUCUACAUCUUGCUCAAAUGUGAUGGCUUCAACGUCUGACAAGAUGAGCGUACCUACAGAGAUUCAGCAUGACGGUAUAUCAUCAAAAUCUGAGAGGUUAUUCAUGCCUGCAAGUUCUCAGGGCAUAUAUGCCGAAAACCAAAUAAUGUCA